GACGAACGCUGGCGGCGUGCUUAACACAUGCAAGUCGAACGGAAAGGCCCUGCUUUUGUGUGGUGCUCGAGUGGCGAACGGGUGAGUAACACGUGGGUAACCUGCCCUUGACUUUGGGAUAACUUCAGGAAACUGGGGCUAAUACCGGAUAGGAGCUCCUGCUGCAUGGUGGGGGUUGGAAAGUUUCGGCGGUUGGGGAUGGACUCGCGGCUUAUCAGCUUGUUGGUGGGGUAGUGGCUUACCAAGGCUUUGACGGGUAGCCGGCCUGAGAGGGUGACCGGCCACAUUGGGACUGAGAUACGGCCCAGACUCCUACGGGAGGCAGCAGUGGGGAAUAUUGCACAAUGGGCGGAAGCCUGAUGCAGCAACGCCGCGUGCGGGAUGACGGCCUUCGGGUUGUAAACCGCUUUCGCCUGUGACGAAGCGUGAGUGACGGUAAUGGGUAAAGAAGCACCGGCUAACUACGUG
rnacentral:rRNA from 1 species